rnacentral:rRNA from 1 species
GACGAACGCUUGCGGCGUGCGUAACACAUGCAAGUCGAACGGAAAGGCCCUGCUUUUGUGGGGUGCUCGAGUGGCGAACGGGUGAGUAACACGUGAGUAACCUGCCCUUGACUUUGGGAUAACUUCAGGAAACUGGGGCUAAUACCGGAUAGGAGCUCCUGCUGCAUGGUGGGGGUUGGAAAGUUUCGGCGGUUGGGGAUGGACUCGCGGCUUAUCAGCUUGUUGGUGGGGUAGUGGCUUACCAAGGCUUUGACGGGUAGCCGGCCUGAGAGGGUGACCGGCCACAUUGGGACUGAGAUACGGCCCAGACUCCUACGGGAGGCAGCAGUGGGGAAUAUUGCACAAUGGGCGGAAGCCUGAUGCAGCAACGCCGCGUGCGGGAUGACGGCCUUCGGGUUGUAAACCGCUUUCGCCUGUGACGAAGCGUGAGUGACGGUAAUGGGUAAAGAAGCACCGGCUAACUACGUGCCAGCAGCCGCGGUGAUACGUAGGGUGCGAGCGUUGUCCGGAUUUAUUGGGCGUAAAGGGCUCGUAGGUGGUUGAUCGCGUCGGAAGUGUAAUCUUGGGGCUUAACCCUGAGCGUGCUUUCGAUACGGGUUGACUUGAGGAGGGUAGGGGAGAAUGGAAUUCCUGGUGGAGCGGUGGAAUGCGCAGAUAUCAGGAGGAACACCAGUGGCGAAGGCGGUUCUCUGGGCCUUUCCUGACGCUGAGGAGCGAAAGCGUGGGGAGCGAACAGGCUUAGAUACCCUGGUAGUCCACGCUGUAAACGGUGGGUACUAGGUGUGGGGUCCAUUCCACGGGUUCCGUGCCGUAGCUAACGCUUUAAGUACCCCGCCUGGGGAGUACGGCCGCAAGGCUAAAACUCAAAGGAAUUGACGGGGCCCCGCACAAGCGGCGGAGCAUGCGGAUUAAUUCGAUGCAACGCGUAGAACCUUACCUGGGUUUGACAUGGAUCGGGAGUGCUCAGAGAUGGGUGUGCCUCUUUUGGGGUCGGUUCACAGGUGGUGCAUGCCUGUCGUCAGCUCGUGUCGUGAGAUGUUGGGUUAAGUCCCGCAACGAGCGCAACCCUUGUUCACUGUUGCCAGCACGUUAUGGUGGGGACUCAGUGGAGACCGCCGGGGUCAACUCGGAGGAAGGUGGGGAUGACGUCAAGUCCUCAUGCCCCUUAUGUCCAGGGCUUCACGCAUGCUACAAUGGCUGGUACAGAGAGUGGCGAGCCUGUGAGGGUGAGCGAAUCUCGGAAAGCCGGUCUCAGUUCGGAUUGGGGUCUGCAACUCGACCUCAUGAAGUCGGAGUCGCUAGUAAUCGCAGAUCAGCAACGCUGCGGUGAAUACGUUCCCGGG